GAUCAGUGGCUCAGGAUAAACGCUGGCGGCGUGCCUAAUACAUGCAAGUCGAGACGGAAACACGUUCGGGUGUCGAGCGGCGGACGGCUGAGUAACGCGUAGGAAUCGUAACCCAAGUGAGGGAUAAGCAACCGGAAACGGUGUCUAAUACCGCAUAUGAUCUUCGGAUUAAACGCCCCCCGGGGCGCUAUGGGAACAGCCUGCGUAAGAUUAGCUUGUUGGUGAGGUAAUAGCUCACCAAGGCGAUGAUCUUUAGCUGGUCUGAGAGGAUGAUCAGCCAGACUGGAACUGAGACACGGUCCAGACUCCUACGGGAGGCAGCAGUAGGGAAUUUUCCACAAUGGGCGAAAGCCUGAUGGAGCAACGCCGCGUGCAGGAUGAAGGCCUUCGGGUCGUAAACUGCUUUUAUAUGUGAAGACAUCGACGGUAGCAUAUGAAUAAGGAUCGGCUAACUCCGUG
rnacentral:rRNA from 1 species